rnacentral:rRNA from 1 species
GACAGAGGGGGCAAGCGUUGCUCGGAAUUACUGGGCGUAAAGGGCGCGUAGGCGGGAUGGCAAGUCGGUCGUGAAAUCCUUCGGCUCAACCGAAGAACGUCGAUCGAUACUGCUGUUCUUGAGGGUUGCAGAGGAGACUGGAAUUCCCGGUGUAGCGGUGAAAUGUGUAGAGAUCGGGAGGAACGACCGGUGGCGAAGGCGGGUCUC